GAAGAAACAAUUGGGCUGCAUGAGCCAGUGGGGCUGGUUGGUGCAGGGUCAAGGUGAGAGCCAAAACCAGAGCGCCAGACUGGACCACCCGUCUUCUAUUUUCCCAGGAAUUGAGAACAGUCAUCAUCCCCGAGCAGGUGCAGUCUGUUUGCCACGACUGCUGCUCCCCCAAUGCUCGGUGCAAACUGGUGCAUGUACACAGACUGCUGCAUCCAGCCCACUCUCCCACUGCUGCAGUGUUGUAUCUUUCUGAAUGAAGAUCAAUGGGGAGGCACUGCCCAGAAUGACAAUGACGAUCAACGGGGUCUCACAACUCACCACUAGAGGGAGAUGACUUAUGCGCAAACCUCCACUUGCCGCAACAGGCCUGGGGAGGGCGGCCAAUAACGUUUAAUGGCUCUCGUGUUAAGCAGCCUGCAUGUUGUGAUCUACAUGAGAGGCAGGGUCAGUCUGACACGUUUCCUCUAGUGGCUGUGGCUUCAGCUGCCUGGGAGAGCCGCUGUUUUAUGUGCCCCCUCAGGGAACAGCAGAGUGUUACAUCAGUGGGCCCACUGCUGGGCUCUGUGCAGUGGGGUGCAGUGAUGCAGAUGGAGACGGGGAGUAUAGAGCUGACACAGGACAUCACUUCAUGUCAGAGAUUUGUUGCUUUUCUUGUAACUGCUUUACAGGAACUCCCCGUCGAAUAGGUCCCAGGUGGAUACAGGCGUUAUGGCAGUUAUUGCUGCUGGGCCAGACGGUGCGCUCGUGGGGGACCGAGUGAAAUGUGAAGGGAGAAAGACUGUUCCAUUUCUGUGCUCCAUCCUUCGGACAUUUCCAUCCACUACAGGGCCUUACAAAUGAUGCCACCAGGAAACUGACUGGACAUGGCUCCAUUCUACUCCAUCUCCACAAUUAACAGUGGAUGAGGUGUGUUCAAUAUAAAGGAAGCAAACUGAAACAAAACAUCAUGUAAAUUCAGUUUUUAAUCAACAUCUGAAAACAAAUUGGACAAAUGAAAGACUGUUUCUGCUUUUAUAAACUACAUGUGGUUUUAGGUUUUUAAAUCAUUUAAGAAAUCACUUUUUUUUCCAGAGAAGAAAAAAAGAAAAUCCAAUGACAGUGACACUGAAAAAAAGCAGAUUUCCAGAAAGUAAGGAGUAACAUCUCAAAAGUGUUAUCACGGACACAACCUCUCUUCGGCGCCAUCUUAAGCAAAGUAUCAAAUGAAAGCAUAGUCUCAAACCCAGUAUGAACAUGUGGUCCUCAUAGAAACAAGGGCAGAAGAUGAGGGAGAUGUCAGAGAAGCAGAUUUUAGGAGGAUCCUGAUCGUUUCAAAUAUCCUGACAACUACCCCUAAGGUGAAAACACUCCAAAGGCUAACAUAAAAACAGUAAAAUGUCAAAUUAAUUUGUUUGAAUUCAAUUAGGGGUAGAAUAGGAAUUCUUUGUCUUCAGCCGUUCGUUAGGUUUAUUUUUAAUUCUCCAUUGUGGUCCAGCCAUUGCAGAUCCAUUUGUCGUUUUUUUUUGACUCGCGAGAAGUUCACAGAACAGCUUUUGUGUUGUGAUUUUGUUUCACUCUGUAGUACAACAUGAGUCGUGGGUAUUAGUCACAUGUUUAUUUGGUCUUGUCAAAUAGGUGAGAUGUCGCACAAAAAACAAAAAAAAAACCAAUGGAUUCCAAAUCUGCCGGAGUAUAAGAAUGUAUAUUUGAGAUGCAAGGCUGAAGCAGGAAAUAGUAACAUAUAAA